GUUGAUGGUUGAUUGGUUGAUGAUUACUCUUAUCACCAAAGAUUUCAUCUCUGCUGUGUUUCUUUCAAGAUAAGUUAUUUUCUUGACAGUAGGACUGAUUAAAAUAUUAAAUGAUCUGUGUUUGUUUCCUCUGUCUUUUCUUGCAGUCAUUCCCAACAUAGCACUGCAACCCGUCAGCCUUCAGUGACUCUCCAACGGGCCAUCUCCCUGGAAGGGGAGCCCCGCAAGGUGGUCCUGCACAAAGGCUCCACUGGCCUGGGCUUCAACAUUGUGGGCGGGGAAGAUGGAGAAGGUAUAUUUGUAUCCUUCAUUCUGGCCGGUGGACCAGCAGACCUGAGUGGGGAGCUCCAGAGAGGAGACCAGAUCCUAUCGGUGAAUGGCAUUGACCUCCGUGGUGCAUCCCAUGAACAGGCAGCCGCUGCGCUAAAGGGGGCUGGACAGACGGUGACAAUUAUAGCACAAUAUCAACCUGAAGAUUACGCUCGAUUUGAGGCCAAAAUCCAUGACCUACGAGAGCAGAUGAUGAACCACAGCAUGAGCUCGGGUC